rnacentral:rRNA from 1 species
CCACCUAACUCCAUGCCGAACUUAGAAGUGAAACGCUGUAACGCCGAUGGUAGUGUGGGAGUUUCCCAUGUGAGAGUAGGACACCGCCAGGU